UCGAUUGAGACACUUUGUCAGACAUGUAGUAACUUUGCAGGCCUUAGAAGUGUGAUCCUGAGAAAUCUAACCUGUAAAGCAUGGAGGAUAAUAAAAGUCAUCGUUGUACCGUCUUGCGCUCGAUAAAAUAUAGCUGGGAGUCAUUAAAGUCAUCCUCUAUGCAUAUGAGCUACUACAGACAAGCUUGAUUGCCAUGCUUAUUGGGAUAUUUGAAAUCUGGUCAUCGAUCCUUCUGGCGCGAAUAGAUUGGAAACAGGAUAUGACUCCACGCCCGUAGAAUCAGAUUUGAGAGAAAGAAACUACAGUACUUUUGCAAAGUUUGGAAGAUUUCCAAAUCUUAAAUUUGGCAUUUUCUAAUGUUCAAUGUCCCACAGCAUGCAUUGCCAGCGCACCAGUCAAGGGGUUGCAGGCAGAGCGUAGUUGCAACGAUAACAUCUGACAAAAAUCCACUUACUCUCUCUGUUGAUUCUUGUCCACACUGUAUUUCAAACCUCUCAUUUCAGCACAGCAUAUAGCUGGUGAGGGAACACCAUUAGUUACGCAUGCAGAAGAUGCAGCCACCGAUCAAGAGGCAGAAAAGGAAGACAUGGUAGGUGCACGGGAGCGGAUAAAAUCUUAUUUGCAACUCUUUUACUGCGAUAACUUCCAGUACAGGGAAUUGAAUUCACGGCAUUUAAAUCUUGUGGCAUUCAUGAGGAAAUUUAUUGACUGCAUGGCAAACACCUGCAAUAUGUCAAUGCGAGUUUUAUCACCGUUCCAUUUUCCACUUGACACUGAAAGAGGCAUUCAAGGUGUUUUGUAACAGGGGAGUUGCGGGAAGUACAAGUGCGCAGUCGCUUGCCACAUUUGACGAAAGGUGGCAAUGAAAAAUCGAGUGAUGAAUCUAUUGAAGAUGCACUUGAAAAGGCUUGUGCUGCAUUUCAGUCUGAUAUGCUUCAAUGUUGGUUCUUGUCCUGUGAUAUUGUGUGCACUAAUUUACUGUCUCAUAUUAUUUUAGGAUGUGAAACUCCUCACAUACAUCACUGGUAAAGACUCAUUUGCAGAAAUUUACAGGAAUGGCGGCAAUUGCACUGAAAUCAUAAAUUAAAAGAACAGCAUCCUAUAUGACAUUAAGCGUGGGUUCCAGUGCAUUUGAUGAUGAGUAAUUCCAUGCUCUUUCCCUGCUGAAAUAAGUACUCUCAUGGCAAGAUUAUAUUCAACAAACAAUAUUGGAUUUGGCUUUUUCCUUGAACUGCAUGAGAGGAUAGUGGUAACUGCGUUGAAGUUGUAAAAUAAAUGCUCUUUAUGAAGAACUUUUCAAAUAAAUGCUCUUUAUGAAGAACUUUUCCCUGCUCUUUACACUAUUGAAAUCAGUAGCUUUAUAGCAAGGUUACAGUCAAACGGCAAUACCUACUAGAGUUGUGAAAAAGCGCCUGAUAGAAAUGAAUGUUCAGGGCCUUCAAUUACAUUGCAGCAAAUUACCCCCAUUAUAUUUCUAUCCAACUUGACUAGCAAUGAAGAAACUUAGGAUGCAGGAAAAAAAUGUCUCUAAUCUCUUUACCACUAUCUUUCUAUCCAACUUAAACAUAAAUCAGCCUCUGGCUUGAUGCACUCACGUAGAACCUUAUGACAAUGGCAGAGCAACUUUUUUAGACAAUGAAGAGCAACCAUUCAUUGCAAGGGUUUGAAGUCCCAUAUAAUAAAUUUCUUUAUAUUAUCAGUUGGUUCAGUGCAAACCUACCCUUCAACCUGCUUGCCUGGCCUAUAUGUAGUUGCAAACAAAACAUUCAGAUGGCCUAUGUGCAAGUCGAUGGCAGUUAUGCAUUUAGCUAGAAAAUAGCUUUAGUAUGACCAUUGUUGAAACUGGUUUAAGAUUCGGUCAGUACAUCCACCACAAUUUUGUGAUUGAUGUAAACAUGUCACAGGUUUGUGAGAAAAAAUUAGACUUCAACAGGUACUUGCUGUGCAUAAUAACACUAGCACUUGCACU